rnacentral:rRNA from 1 species
AUGAAGAGUUUGAUCCUGGCUCAGGAUGAACGCUAGCGGCAGGCCUAAUACAUGCAAGUCGAGGGGCAGCACGGUUUUCGGACUGGUGGCGACCGGCGCACGGGUGCGUAACGCGUAUGCAAUCUACCUUAUACUGGAGGAUAGCCCGAGGAAACUCGGAUUAAUACUCCAUAGUAUCACGAAAUGGCAUCGUUUUGUGAUUAAAGAUUUAUUGGUAUAAGAUGAGCAUGCGUCUGAUUAGUUAGUUGGUAAGGUAACGGCUUACCAAGACGAUGAUCAGUAGGGGGUCUGAGAGGAUGAUCCCCCACACUGGCACUGAGAUACGGACCAGACUCCUACGGGAGGCAGCAGUAGGGAAUAUUGGUCAAUGGGCGAGAGCCUGAACCAGCCAUGCCGCGUGCAGGAUGACGGCCUUCUGGGUUGUAAACUGCUUUUAUAUGGGAAGAAAAAGGUCUUGCGAGACAAAUUGCCGGUACCAUAUGAAUAAGCACCGGCUAACUCCGUGCCAGCAGCCGCGGUAAUGCGGA